GGGGCGCAGCAGGCGCGAAAACUUCGCAAUGCGCGAAAGCGCGACGAGGGGAUUCCAAGUGCAUGCACUUAGUGCAUGCUGUUUGCUAGUCUAAAUAGCUAGUAGAGUAAGGGCUGGGUAAGACUGGUGCCAGCCGCCGCGGUAAUACCAGCGGCCCGAGUGGUGAUCGUUAUUAUUGGGUCUAAAGCGUCCGUAGCCGGCCCGGUAAAUCUCUGGGUAAAUCGUUGGGCUCAACUCAGCGAAUUCUAGGGAG
rnacentral:rRNA from 1 species